GACGAACGCUGGCGGCGUGCUUAGCACAUGCAAGUCGAACGGAAAGGCCCUGCUUUUGUGGGGUGCUCGAGUGGCGAACGGGUGAGUAACACGUGAGUAACCUGCCCUUGACUUUGGGAUAACUUCAGGAAACUGGGGCUAAUACCGGAUAGGAGCUCCUGCUGCAUGGUGGGGGUUGGAAAGUUUCGGCGGUUGGGGAUGGACUCGCGGCUUAUCAGCUUGUUGGUGGGGUAGUGGCUUACCAAGGCUUUGACGGGUAGCCGGCCUGAGAGGGUGACCGGCCACAUUGGGACUGAGAUACGGCCCAGACUCCUACGGGAGGCAGCAGUGGGGAAUAUUGCACAAUGGGCGGAAGCCUGAUGCAGCAACGCCGCGUGCGGGAUGACGGCCUUCGGGUUGUAAACCGCUUUCGCCUGUGACGAAGCGUGAGUGACGGUAAUGGGUAAAGAAGCACCGGCUAACUACG
rnacentral:rRNA from 1 species